CCUACGGGAGGCAGCAGUAGGGAAUCUUUCACAAUGGGCGAAAGCCUGAUGGAGCAACGCCGCGUGCAGGAUGAAGGCCUUCGGGUUGUAAACUGCUUUUAUAAGCGAGAAAUAUGAUGGUCACUUAUGAAUAAGGAUCGGCUAACUACGUGCCAGCAGCCGCGGUCAUACGUAGGAUCCGAGCAUUAUCCGGAGUGACUGGGUGUAAAGAGUUGCGUAGGUGGCAUAAUAAGUAGCUAGUGAAAUCUGGUGGCUCAACCAUUCAGACGAUUAGCUAAACUGUUAAGCUCGAGAGCGUUAGGGGUAAGUGGAAUGUCUGGUGUAGGAGUGAAAUCCGUAGAUAUUAGAAGGAACACCAAUAGCGUAGGCAGGUUACUGGGACGGUUCUGACACUAAGGCACGAAAGCGUAGGGAGCAAACGGGAUUAGAUACCCUAGUAGUC
rnacentral:rRNA from 1 species